AUUGAACGCUGGCGGCAUGCUUUACACAUGCAAGUCGAACGGUAACAGGUCUUCGGAUGCUGACGAGUGGCGAACGGGUGAGUAAUGCAUCGGAACGUGCCCAGUCGUGGGGGAUAACGC
rnacentral:rRNA from 1 species